rnacentral:ncRNA from 1 species
GUCUCUGGAGAGUCCCGUGCAGCGGGCGCCGAAGGUGUAAGGCCGGCAGAGCGUUUCUGUCUAUUCCUCAGGAAGGGAAGAAGCGUUUUUCGGCUGACUGAUCUCUCAGGCAAACGGACAGAGCA